CAGCAGCCGCGGUAAAACGGAGGGGGCUAGCGUUGUUCGGAAUUACUGGGCGUAAAGCGCACGUAGGCGGUUUUGUAAGUCAGAGGUGAAAGCUCGGAGCUCAACUCCGGAACUGCCUUUGAGACUGCAUCACUUGAACGUCGGAGAGGUGAGUGGAAUUCCGAGUGUAGAGGCGAAAUUCGUAGAUAUUCGGAAGAACACCAGUGGCGAAGGCGGCUCACUGGACGACUGUUGACGCUGAGGUGCGAAAGCGUGGGGAGCAAACAGGAUUAGAUACCCCCGUAGUCCCUGUCUCUUAUAC
rnacentral:rRNA from 1 species